rnacentral:lncRNA from 1 species
AUGCAUUUUUUGAUUUUUUUUUUAAUUACUGCUUCUGUUUAUGUUAAAUUAUAUUUGUUUUGUGGCUGUGUGUGUGUGUUUUCCUCUUUUUUUAAGAUCGAUCCCAAUGUCCUCCUGCUCAUGAACGACGACCAGUUAACCGAGUAUCUACCAUCAUAUGGAGACCGACUGGCUGUCCUUGGAUAUUGCAGAUUGAAGGGGAAGAAUCCUGUUGCCCGCAAAUCAAAACUUUUUGAGCGACUGAAAGCCAAGUUAGCAAAAAGUGACGAUCGUGAACACUUGUCUGAGAAGUUACCAUGUCAAAAUGCUCAGAAGAAAGAGCGUAAAAUUGAAAUUGGCUGGUUGAAUUUCCGUGACGGGAAAUUCUUACAAAUGAGGGCCAAAAAGGGGGGCGGGACCAGGAAAAUCUCUGUGUCCAAGAAUUGUUGUAAAGAUCAGUUAAUUGAACAGGCCAAAAACCUGUUUUUCCCUGGUCAGAAAAAUGCAGAAGGAAAUGUUCAAGAUUUUGCGAUUGAACUAACUGAUUUUCAGGAGCGCCCGUUAGAUCCCCUGACUACAGUUGGGGAUCUUUAUGAAGUAACAAAGCUGCCCAUUUUACGCUUUUACUUAGCAACAACCAAGAGGGAUGGUUGCAGUGAGAAUCAGCUUGCAGCCUCACCCAACCCCCCUAGGCCUAGUUUACCUCUAGCUGAAGGUCAGGAAACCGCAGAUGUGGUAUAUGCUAGUAGCAGCAAUGUCCUGUCUGAUACAAACAGUGAUCCUGAGCCCUUCGAUUGCUCCACUGUUGAAAUGACAGAUUGGGCUAGUGUGAGCGAAGUUGAUGCCGCCAAUGCUGUAGAUGACUUUGAGAAUAGUGGCACAGUUACCUUUUUCCAAGGACACCAACAUGAUCUGGACUGGGUUAGCCUUGAUGAUACCUUACAAACGUCUCCUCGGGCAUCAAGUUCAUCUACUCCGACCCUAGAUAUUGCUCAUGUGCCCAUUGAUCAGAGUGAAAGAACAAAGAGAAUAAUUGUUGUUCACCGUGGGCAGAUCCUGAGAGAACUAAUCACACAUUUUUUGGACGCGAGUGUCAUGCGAGAUGAUGUUUUCAUCCAAGUAAUUCUUCCCAAUGGAAGUUUGGAAAUGGCAGUUGAUGAAGGUGGCGUGUUAAGGGAUGUGCUAACUGAAUUUUGGCUGGACUUUUAUGAGCAAUGCACUUUAGGAAAUGCUUUCAAGGUGCCUUUUCUACGCCAUGAUUUUGGUAAGCAGCAGUGGGAAAGCAUUGGCAGAAUAAUAGCAAUGGGUUGGCAAAAAGAGAAGUACCUGCCUAUAAAAAUAGCCCCAGUAAUUUUGGAGAAAGUUGCCCUGGGAAGUGUGAAGAGUAGUCUUGUUGACUGCUUCCUGAAAUAUGUCACAGAGUCAGAGAGAUUGGUGUUUGAAUCCUGCCGUUCAGAUUUUGAAAGUGUGGAUCAGGAAGAAUUGAUUGAAGUAAUGGAUCUCCACAGCUGUCGAAGAAUGCCAACCGCUGAUAAUAUUGAACAGCUCUUGGAGGAGCUUGCCCACCAAAAGCUGGUUCAAGAACCCGCCUUUGUCCUAGAGCAGUGGAGCAAGGUGCUUGCACCCUUUAGGUCAGAUUUGGAAGGCAUUUCAGAAGCGUAUGUAAAUCUUCAUCCAACACUGAGGAAGGUGAUUAGGUCUAUCUCUUACCCCACUACUAUGAACGACCAGCAGAAGAACAUAGGAAAGCAUCUUAGCACUUACCUUAGAGAAUCUGACGCACAGCACCUGUCUCUAUUCCUUCGGUUUUGCACUGGCUCUGAUUUGUUUCUUGGUAAGACCAUUACUUUGAGCUUCACGAAUUUGCAAGGUAUGCAGAGACGGCCCAUCGCCCACACAUGUGGAUGCUACUUGGAGUUGCCAAUUGAUUAUGACAAUUACCCGGAUUUCAGACACGAAAUGAACAAAGUAUUGGAGAGUGGUGUGUGGGCAAUGGACAUAGUUUAG